AUAGUUUCAGUGUGAAGCUGCUCAAGGAUUUUAGAUUUUUGCCAUCUGGUCACUAGAUUUACAAUUAUGUUUUAUAAUUUAAAAAACCUAAUCUAGAAUCUUAUCCAUCGGUUAUUUCUAAGUCUCUAAAGGGCAGACUAUACAAGAAUGAAAAUGACUUGACUCGGUCAUUUUCUAUUGCACAGUUUGAUUAUAUUAUUAAAUGUCGAGCCCAGUUUUAAUGACACCAAUAAAUACGUUUUAACUACAUGCUGUUCUGAAAACAGUGUAAUAUUUCACUGUGUGUGUCACGAACCUCGAAUUGGCACGGGAGCAGGAGUGGGCGGCAGGUGUAGAGCGUGGUAUCAGGAAGUUCAAGAAACGUAGUCAUAAGAUAGGCAAAGGUCAAGCGAUCGGACGAACACCACAAACAGGGUCAGGCAGAGAGCGUAGUCGAAACCGGAAACAAGGGUCGAGGAUCACGAGAAGACAAACUAACUAGAACGGCUUGGUAACGCAGAGAAACGAGUUGACUGAACGUAUACUUUACAUUGACGCUAGGUGAAUGGCAUCCCUAAGUACUAGCGAUGUGUUCUGUGCUACUGAACUCAUCCAGCCAGACUCAGUGGUUAUAAAGCCAGGAGAGAUUUUAACCAUCACCUGUAGAGUGUCUGGAGCUUCAAUAAUUGCAGCAGAAGCCACUUUGGAACAGCUUGGAUUUGACAGCCUGCAGGAAAAGCUCCGGAAUGGAUCAACAUCAUUGAUAAUGAUUGGGAUAUUUAUAAGAAAGAUUCACUUAAAAACAAGUUUGUCAUCUCUCGAGACACGUCCAGUAACAUGGUGACCUUUCAGGAACAGGACUUGCAGAUUGAAGACACAGCUGUGUAUUUACGCGCUCGUGUUCCACACUGACAAGACAAGCUGCAGUGAUGCACAAAAAUGCCUUAAUUUCCACAUUACAAACACUUCAGCCUAGACACUUUGGUAAUCAUUUAACAAAAACUAAUUCAGUUAUUACUAUUAGUCUGCUAUUACAACAGAGG
ensembl:lncRNA